AACGAACGCUGGCGGCAGGCCUAACACAUGCAAGUCGAACGAUGCUUUCGUGCGUAGUUGCUCACGGGGGCGUAACGCGGGGGAAUCUGCCCUGGUGUUCGGGAUAACAGCGUUAAACUGCUGCUAAUACCGGAUGAUAUCGCGUAAUCAAAGAUUUGUCGUCCUGGUAUGAGCCCGCGUCGUCUGAGGUGGUUGGUGGGGUAAGAGCCGACCAAGCCGACGAUACGUAGCUGGUCUGAGAGGAUGAGCAGCCACACUGGGGCUGAGAAACGGCCCGGAAUCUUACGCGAGGGAGCAGUGGGGAAUACUGGCAAACCGCCGCAAGCAUGAUGGAGCACUGCCGCGUGAGUGCUGAAGGCGUUAGAGUAGUACAGCUCUUUUACACGGGAUGAUAAUGACAGUACCGGGAGAAUAAGCACCGGCUAACUUCGUG
rnacentral:rRNA from 1 species